AUGCUCAUUUCAGCAGCACAUGUACUAAAAUUGGAACAAUACAGAGAAGAUUCGCGUGGUUCCUAUGGAAGGAUGAGAUACAGAUUUAUGAAGCAUCCCAUAUACAA
rnacentral:snRNA from 1 species